AGGUUUAUUCCAUGCUGAAAAAAAGAAGAAAGAGAACACAACGUUUCGUGUAGUAGAGCCGAAGGUAACGGGAAGCCCAGCUGAGUGCAGGGGUUCCAGGAAAUCAAAACUGAAGCAAGGAAGGGAGAGGGAGAACUAAAAGGAGUUUGACAGGAAUCCAUCCAUCCAGUGGAAUAGAGAAGUGAAGAGUUCUUCCACAGAAGGAGAAGAACUAAGGAUCUUUUGCUUACUAAUACCUCUGUGAUGGACUGGCUUUUUAGGACCGAGCAGACUGAGUGAUAGACAUGUUGCCUCUGUGACAUGUUGACUCAGAGCUUCAUGUUCAUGCUAUUCAUGCCUGCUAUUAAAGGAACUGCAUCAACAUAGGAAACAGUUAACCCUCCAUUUAACCUUUAAAUUAUGUCAGACAGCUCAACAAACUAUCACUAUCCUCUGGGCCCAAAAGAGGCCACCCCACUGUGAAAGGAGCUGUAGUAUAAUUCCAGUCUAUCACUGCAGAAAGAUACCUGAUGUGUGUUAGACUACAUGCAAAUAUUGUAAAGCGUCAAACUGUCAAUGGUUUUAUAGUCUGAGUCACCUAGUACAAAUGUGGGUUGGGCUACAACUAUCAUCUUAUCAAGACAUAUUUUCUUAAUGUUAUUGUCUCCAUUUUGUUAUACGAUCUUAAUAAAAGGACAUUUAAACUUUCCUCUA